rnacentral:lncRNA from 10 species
GUUCAGGAAAAGUGGGAGGGAGAGAAGGAGGGAGAGAGCAAUCGAGGGAGAGCAGAAGAGUGUGAAGAGAAAGAGAAAGACAGGAGGAGGAGCAAGGGGAAGGGAGGAGGCAAGCGUGGAAAGGUGAGAAGAGGUGAGGCAGAGGCCUACGUGGAGAGGCAGAGCCUGGGACGCUGCCUGCGGGGGAGGUCAGGGCCACAGGGAAACCCGCACCCAGCCGGACAGGAGUCAGAGGCUGUUGUCAUGGUAACUGGCAUCCCAAGGCCUGGUCUGCCUCCUGCCUCCUUUAUCGGGCUAUGAUGGUCACUGCUUCCUCUGCGAAGCACCUGUCAUGUGUGGGGGUUUGUGCCAAGCUCUUUCCAUGCACUAGGGGGAGAAACCAGGCAGCCCACCUUCAGAGCCCGCGUCUUAACUGUGACCCCACGUUGAAAUAAAAUGUGGAAACUGCCCACAGACACACCUCGUGGUGGCUACGAGUCACAGGGGCUGCAC